GUAGCGCCGGCGCACUGGCGCGCUCCGUUUACACGCUGCGGGGCCUAUAGGCGCCGCGAGUUCCGGCUGUCGCCGUCGCCGCCGCAGCUCCUGGAGGUCGGUUGCGACGAGUAACGGCGCCGGGACGAGCGCUGCGCCUUCUUCUCCGAUAUGUACCCGAAUUGGGGCCGGUAUGGCGGGAGCAGCCACUAUCCGCCGCCGCCGGUCCCGCCGCCACCGCCGGUGGCGCUUCCUGAGGCCUCGCAGGGGCCCGGGUACUCGAGCUCGACGACUCCCGCGGCCCCCUCCUCCUCUGGCUUCAUGAGCUUCCGCGAGCAGCACCUGGCGCAGCUCCAGCAGCUGCAGCAGAUGCACCAGAAGCAAAUGCAGUGCGUGCUCCAGCCCCAUCACCUUCCUCCUCCCCCCCUGCCGCCCCCACCGGUGAUGCCGGGGGGCGGCUACGGGGACUGGCAGCCACCGCCGCCACCGAUGCCCCCGCCACCUGCGCCGGCUCUCAGCUAUCAGAAGCAGCAGCAGUACAAACACCAGAUGCUCCACCACCAACGAGACGGGCCUCCUGGUUUGGUUCCCAUGGAGCUGGAUUCCCCUCCUGAAUCUCCCCCAGUACCGCCGGGGUCCUAUAUGCCCCCGUCGCAAUCUUACAUGCCCCCACCUCAGCCGCCACCUUCGUACUACCCCCCGACCUCGUCUCAGCCCUACCUGCCUCCCGCUCAGCCGUCCCCUUCUCAGUCCCCACCUUCCCAGUCCUACCUGGCUCCCACCCCAUCUUACUCUUCCUCUUCUUCCUCCUCGCAGUCCUAUUUGAGCCAUUCCCAGUCCUACUUGCCCUCUUCUCAGGCAUCUCCUUCCCGCCCCUCCCAAGGCCAUUCUAAAUCCCAGCUGCUAGCUCCGCCACCGCCGUCCGCCCCUUCUGGGAAUAAGACAACUGCCCAGCAAGAGCCUUUGGAGAGUGGGGCCAAGAACAAGAGUGCUGAACAGCAGCAAGCUGCCCCUGAGCCAGAUCCCUCUACGAUGACUCCACAGGAACAGCAGCAGUAUUGGUAUCGACAGCACUUGCUUAGUUUGCAGCAGAGGACAAAAGUGCAUUUGCCGGGGCACAAAAAGGGUCCUGUUGUAGCAAAGGAUGUAACUGAGCCAGUAAAAGAAGAAGUUACUGUACCUGCCACCAGCCAAGUCUCAGAACCCCCUUCAUCUGAGGAGCCCCCAUUACCACCCCCUAAUGAGGAUGUACCACCUCCUCUCCCACCUGAGGAACCCCAGUCUGAGGACCCGGAAGAAGAUGCCAGGUUAAAACAAUUGCAGGCUGCAGCAGCACACUGGCAGCAGCACCAGCAACAUCGAGUUGGCUUCCAGUAUCAGGGAAUAAUGCAGAAGCACACUCAGUUACAGCAGAUCCUACAACAGUACCAGCAGAUUAUACAGCAUCCACCACAUAUACAGACCAUGUCUGUAGAUUUGCAGAUGCGGCAUUACGAGAUGCAGCAGCAGCAGUUUCAACAUCUCUACCAAGAAUGGGAGCGAGAGUUUCAGCUGUGGGAGGAACAACUUCAUUCCUAUCCUCAUAAGGAUCAGCUUCAGGAGUACGAGAAGCAGUGGAAAACAUGGCAGGGACAUAUGAAAGCCACUCAGACCUAUCUCCAGGAGAAAGUCAAUUCAUUUCAGAACAUGAAGAACCAGUAUAUGGGGAACAUGUCCAUGCCACCACCUUUUGUCCCAUAUUCUCAGAUGCCUCCACCUCUACCAACAAUGCCUCCUCCGGUACUGCCUCCAUCACUGCCACCACCAGUGAUGCCCCCCGCCCUGCCUGCUUCAGUGCCACCACCUGGCAUGCCCCCGCCUGUGAUGCCACCUUCUCUACCAACCUCUGUGCCCCCACCUGUGAUGCCUCCAUCUCUCUCUUCAACAGGGCCCCCACCAGUUCUACCCCCACCUUCCCUCUCUUCUGCAGGGCCCCCACCAGUUCUUCCCCCACCAUCUCUCUCUUCAACAGCACCUCCGCCUGUCAUGCCCCUCCCACCAUUGUCUUCAGCCACACCUCCCCCAGGAAUGCCUCCGCCUGGAGUGCCACAAGGGAUACCUCCCCAGUUAACAACAACCCCAGUUCCACCAGCCUCCAGUUCUCAGAACUCACAAGUUCCAGAGAAACCUAGGCCAGCACUGCUUCCUACUCCUGUGUCUUUUGGUUCAGCCCCACCCUCAACUUACCAUCCUCCAUUGCAAUCAGCCAUUGGCCCAUCAGAACAAGUGAAUUCUAAAGCACCUCUCAGCACGUCUGCUCUGCCAUACAGUUCAUUCUCAUCUGAGCAAGGACUUGGGGAGUCUUCAGGUGCUCCAUCUCAGCCAAUCACUACAGUCAAGGACAUGCCAGGGAGGUCAGGUGGACUGCUUCCAGAUCCUCCUAGAAGCAGUUACUUGGAAGGUCCAAGAGGCCCAAGAUUUGAUGGUCCUCGAAGAUUUGAGGAUUUAGGGUCAAGGUGUGAAGGACCGAGACCCAAAGGGCCUCGUUUUGAAGGAAAUCGCCCCGAUGGGCCAAGACCCAGAUAUGAAGGUCACCCAACAGAGGGCACUAAAAGCAAAUGGGGAGUGAUUCCCCGGGGGCCAGCAUCUCAAUUCUAUAUUACCCCCAAUACCUCCCUCAGUCCUCGACAGAGUGGACCACAGUGGAAAGGCCCCAAACCAGCUUUUGGACAGCAACAUCAGCAGCAACCUAAGUCACAAGCAGAACCAGGAAACAAAGAACAAUUAGCAGACACCAGUAGUAACCAGCAGAAGAAUUUUAAAAUGCAAUCAGCUGCAUUUUCCAUUGCUGCAGAUGUAAAGGAUGCCAAGGCGGCUCAGUCAAAUGAGAAUCUAAGCGACUCUCAACAAGAGCCACCUAAAAGCGAAGUCUCGGAAGGGCCCAUAGAGCCUUCCAGUUGGGACCAGAAUUCUCAAAGUAUGGAGACUCAAAUGGACAAAGCCCAAGCUGUUACUCAGCCUGUACCCCUUGCAAAUAAACCUGUACCUUCUCAAUCUACUUUUCCCUCAAAAACAGGGGGGAUAGAGGGAGGAACAGCAGUAGCAACAUCAUCAUCACUAACUGCAGAUAAUGAUUUUAAACCUUUGGGUAUUGGUCUGCCCCAUUCAGAAAACAACCAAGAUAAAGGGCUGCCUCGUCCAGAUAACAGAGAUAGUAGGUUAGAAGGCAAUCGAGGCAGCAGCUCAUCUUACAGAGGUCCUGGGCAAAGCAGAAUGGAAGACACACGGGACAAAGGACUAGUAAAUAGAGGUCGAGGCCAGGCAAUCAGCCGUGGCCCAGGGUUGGUCAAGCAAGAAGACUUUCGUGAUAAAAUGAUGGGUAGACGAGAAGACAGUCGGGAGAAGAUGAGUAGAGGAGAAGGCAGCCGGGACAGAGGGUUGGUGAGGCCAGGAAGCAGUCGGGAGAAAGUGCCAGGUGGUCUGCAAGGCAGCCAGGACAGGGGUAGAGCUGGCAGCAGAGAAAGGGGACCACCUCGGAGGGCUGGCAGUCAGGAGAGAGGACCCCCUCGAAGACCUGGGAGUAGAGAGAGAGUACCACCCCGAAGAGCUGGGAGCAGGGAGAGGGGACCACCUCGAGGGCCUGGCAGUCGAGAAAGGGGUCUGGGAAGACCAGAUUUUGGUCGUGACAGAGGUCCAUUUAGACCAGAACCAGGAGAUGGUGGGGAAAAAAUGUAUCCAUAUCACCGAGAUGAGCCUCCUAGGGCUCCAUGGAAUCAUGGGGAGGAGAGAGGGCAUGAAGAGUUCCCAUUAGAUGGUAGAAAUGCUCCAGUGGAACGAGAAAGACUUGACGAUUGGGAUAGAGAGAGAUACUGGAGAGAAUGUGAACAUGACUAUCAAGAUGAUACACUAGAUCCAUAUAACAGAGAGGACAGGUUUUCAGCACCAUCUCGAUCUCAUGAUGGAGACAGACGAGGCCCUUGGUGGGAUGAUUGGGAGAGAGAUCAGGAUAUGGAUGAGGACUACAACAGGGAAAUGGACAGGGACUUGGACAGGGAUGUGGAUCGGAUUGGAAGACCUAUGGAUAUGUAUGAUAGAAAUUUGGAUAAUGAGUGGGACAGAGAUUAUGGGAGACCACUGGAUGAACAAGAAUCACAGUUUCGUGAACGAGAUAUUCCAUCUCUUCCACCUUUACCACCCCUCCCACCUCUUCCACCUGUGGAUAGAUAUCGGGAUGAUAGAUGGAGAGAAGAAAGAAAUCGAGACCAUGGGUAUGAUCGAGAUUUCCGUGAUAGGGGUGAGUUGAGGAUCCGAGAGUAUCCAGAAAGAGGAGAUACAUGGCGGGAUAAGCGAGAUUAUAUUCCUGACAGAAUGGACUGGGAAAGAGAACGAUUGUCAGACAGAUGGUACCCAUCUGAUGUGGAUAGACAUUCCCCCAUGGCGGAACAUAUGCCCUCCUCACAUCAUUCUUCUGAAAUGAUGGGGUCGGAUGCAAACUUAGACUCUGACCAAGGCCUUGGAGGGGUAAUGGUUCUCAGUCAGAGGCAGCAUGAAAUCAUUUUGAAAGCUGCACAAGAACUGAAAAUGCUUCGAGAACAGAAAGAACAGCUUCAAAAGAUGAAAGACUAUGGGUCUGAGCCACAGAUGCCUGACCAUCUACCACCCCAGGAUUCAAGAUUGCAGAAUGCAUCUUCAAGACCUGGAAUGUAUCCGCCUCCAGGGUCCUAUAGACCACCCCCUCCUAUGGGUAAACCACCAGGUUCAAUUGUAAGACCCUCCGCUCCACCAGCAAGAUCAUCUGUUCCUGUGACCAGGCCACCUAUCCCAAUACCACCACCGCCACCGCCUCCUCCUCCUCCUCCACCUCCUCCUCCGGUGAUAAAGCCACAAACUUCAGCUAUGGAACAAGAACGCUGGGAUGAAGAUUCUUUCUAUGGCCUCUGGGAUACAAAUGAUGAACAAGGACUGAAUUCAGAAUUUAAAUCCGAAACUGCAACAAUUCCGUCUGCUCCAAUUUUACCACCCCCACCUGUUCACCCUUCCAUCCCUCCUCCAUGCCCAGUGCCUAUGGGUAUGCCACCAAUGUCCAAACCACCACCAGUGCAGCAGACUGUUGAUUAUGGCCAUGGCCGAGACAUAUCCACUAAUAAAGUUGAACAGAUACCCUAUGGAGAAAGAAUAACUUUGCGUCCAGAUCCACUGCCCGAAAGAUCAGCUUUUGAAACAGAGCAUGCAGGCCAACGAGAUCGUUAUGAUAGAGACAGAGAUCGUGAGCCUUAUUUUGAUCGUCAGAGUAAUGUCAUGGCAGAUCAUCGAGAUUUCAAAAGGGAUCGGGAGACACAUAGAGAUCGAGACCGGGAUCGUGGUGUUAUUGACUAUGAGCGGGAUCGAUUUGACAGAGAACGCCGGCCUCGAGAUGACAGGACUCAGUCAUAUCGAGACAAAAAAGACCAUUCCUCAUCCAGAAGAGGGGGAUUUGAUAGGCCAUCCUAUGAUCGGAAGUCUGACCGACCAGCCUAUGAAGGACCGUCCAUGUUUGGAGGGGAACGAAGAACUUACCCGGAGGAGCGAAUGCCCCUGCCAGCUCCUUCACUAAGCCACCAGCCACCUCCAGCCCCACGGGUUGAGAAGAAACCUGAAUCUAAGAAUGUGGAUGAUAUUUUGAAACCACCUGGUCGAGAAAGCAGACCUGAGAGAAUUGUUGUUAUAAUGAGAGGAUUGCCUGGCAGUGGAAAGACACAUGUUGCAAAACUUAUUCGAGAUAAGGAGGUAGAAUUUGGAGGACCUGCACCCAGAGUUCUAAGCCUAGAUGAUUACUUCAUCACCGAAGUGGAAAAAGAAGAAAAAGAUCCAGAUUCUGGAAAGAAAGUGAAAAAAAAGGUAAUGGAAUAUGAAUAUGAAGCUGAGAUGGAGGAAACCUACCGCACCAGCAUGUUCAAAACUUUCAAAAAGACUCUGGAUGAUGGCUUUUUCCCUUUCAUCAUCCUGGAUGCCAUCAACGACAGAGUUAGACAUUUUGACCAAUUUUGGAGUGCAGCAAAAACCAAGGGAUUUGAGGUGUAUUUGGCUGAAAUGAGUGCAGAUAACCAAACUUGUAGCAAGAGGAAUAUUCAUGGACGAAAGCUUAAAGAAAUAAAUAAGAUGGCCGAUCACUGGGAAACUGCACCUCGUCAUAUGAUGCGCCUGGACAUUCGUUCUUUGCUGCAGGAUGCUGCUAUUGAAGAGGUGGAGAUGGAAGAUUUUGAUGCAAAUAUUGAAGAACAGAAGGACGAAAAGAAAGAUGCAGAGGAAGAGGAAAGCGAACUGGGUUACAUUCCGAAAAGCAAAUGGGAGAUGGACACAUCUGAGGCAAAGCUAGACAAGUUGGAUGGCUUGAGAACUGGUACUAAAAGGAAACGUGACUGGGAGGCUAUUGCCAGCAGAAUGGAGGAUUACCUUCAGCUCCCUGAUGAUUACGACACGCGUGCUUCUGAGCCCGGGAAGAAGAGGGUGAGAUGGGCAGACCUGGAAGAAAAGAAGGAUGCAGAUAGGAAAAGGGCCAUAGGUUUUGUGGUCGGACAGACUGAUUGGGAGAAGAUCACAGAUGAAAGUGGUCACCUGGCUGAAAAAGCCCUCAAUCGAACCAAAUAUAUAUGAGACUUAGUUUUUGAAUGGAGUCAUUACUCCUCUAAGGUGAUUCGCGUUGAGGUGAACUGAAGCCAAGGCCUCACGGAGCUUCGUUGUGUGUCACUUUGCUUCCACGUUUCAGUUUUUGUUUUGUUUCUACUGCUUUAGUUUUUUAAAGUUCUCCAGUGUCCCCAAGAGGAAGGAUCUGAGUCUUUGCCUGCGGAGACAGCCCUGAAGAACUCCUGUAAUGUCAAGCUGGCGAUUUCCAAGAAGCACCCUGGGACCUGCACUCCCAAAGAGACCCACAAGAAAGAGAAGACGUGAGGCUGUGAAGCACUGGCGCCAGACAGACCGCCCUGCCUGAUGCUGCCCGUUCCUUGGGUUGUGGGCUGAUCAGAGCAUCCUUGCUCUACUGGCCCCUGACUUUUGCGGCCCCAGGAAUCCCUCGCUCCCUCAUCAAAUACGAACCUUAAAAUGACGGUACUGAUGAGACAGCCCUGGGAGAAAGCGUAUUAGGGACACUCCCUUUGUAGGAGUAGCUGAUUCCACUAAUGGGGGACAUUUUUAGUAAGUGGGAAACUCUGACUCUGACUGAAAUUAAAUCUGUGGUUCGAAAGAGGUUUUUAGUAUUCUUUUCCUUAGUGCCUCAUGUGGAAAGAACUGCCCCUAAGCUUACAACUGUUGCACCUCAUCCCACCAUCUUUUGGGACUGGAUUCAAAGGACUUGGAAUCAUUCCUGUUUCCAAAGCCAACCAUGAGGCUUGGGAGGUGGCGGGGGGGCUCCGGAAUAUCUUCCAGGACCUCACCCGGACUGGCACCGUUAACGAUGGGACAUCCCCCAGGGCCUCCAGAGCCAGCCUGGCCCGGGGCUUCCACCCUGCAUGCAGAUGACCUCCCGCACAUGGAAGGAUGUGGCAGUGCUGCCCGCCACCCACAUGCCUUGACCCCCACAAACUUCACAGAGGAGGCAUGGUCCAUUUUCCCCACAGGUAGGCUUAGGUUUCCAAACAGAUUCUGAUGGAGCACCUGACCAGUGGAUGCCAGCAGUUCUGCCCUUUCUUGGAGAUAUCAAUACACGGCUCUUUGUGAGCACAGUCAAGUGAGAAAUGCUAGAAGAGGGAAAUGUAGUCAGUGACCAGACACACCCGGCACUUGCAGAACAAGAUGCCAGCCUAACAGAGCUGUCAGCCACACACAAGGAAGAUUACGAGUUCUCACCAAUGAUACUUAGGCCACUUGCUCACCCUUUACUGAUGCUUUACCUCUAAGGUGCCACCAGUGUGCCUUCAUAGAGAUCCCAAAAGGACUGAGAAGCUUGAGUAUUGUUUAUUAUUUCCAGAAAGGGUUUGAGGUGACUUGCCAUGGAAGGCUGACAGAUAAAACUGUUCAAGGGAGAACAAAGAUAAGAACUGAAUGAUGGAAAGAACAGAAACUGUUGUAACGAAAACCUUGGCCAAGACUAGGUGUUGCAACUGAGCCUGGCAUUCAGUCCUGGGCCUCCCGGCACGAAGGUGAGAAGGUCAACAAGUUGUGUAACUCAGUCAUUACAGAGUAUUGUCUAAAAUAGCGUAACACCUGACCUCUGCCCAAGUUUCUGAAGGAAGACUGGCUGUACAUUCAAUUUGCAGCAUCCACCUGUUGCCUAAGAGAAGAUGUGUACGCUGUAAUCUCUGUGAACGGUACAGAGACUGGCCCCAGGCUGCCCUGCCCUCAGUGAUGUAAGGACAGACACGGAAGGGGAUCUUUUCUAAAACUUCAGUCACAAGGGAAGGCACUCAUCAGACCUCCUGAGACCCAAGUACAUGGUCUUACCUCAAAGUCAUUUCCCUUGUUAUAGUGCAUAUUAAGAGCGCGAAAAAGCUCUGAGUCGCGGAGAACCACCAGCGUUUUGGGAUUUGUGACACCAUCUGAAAUUGCUUGCCGGGCAGAUUUCUCCAUUUGGAUAUAAUAAAACUCACGGAAGUUGCUGAACCACUUGAUCAUCUGGGAAGUAAUGCAGCGGUUGAACUGUACAAACAACAGGGUCCGUGAAGUCAGACGUUUGCCACGAGGUGCUCGGAGUCAGAACUGUCAGCUUCCAGUUCAACACAGGGGUUAACAAGAAUGGCUUCAACCAACACUAAAAAGGGCUUUCUUUAAAAAAAAGAAGCCACAGCUAUUUUCUAAGCCUAUACAGUUAUACACAGAAAAAUCUGAAUUAGCCAUAAUGCCCAUUAAAAAAUAAGUGUAUUUUAGAGCCUAGAUUUAUAAAGGUUUUUCACUCUUUAAGUGUGACUUUGGGAGGGUCCAGGGUCAAGACCAGUGUGGUCCCAGCUUCUGCUGCACCCAGGGGGAUUGCAUGGCAGCCCCAGAGCCCUCUGCCAGGUGUACAGCCAAGGGAAGGAGUAAAGGUGUAGAUCAGAGAGCAGUUGCAGAAUGAAUCAAAAUGAGAACUUGGUGCAGGGAUCAACUAAACAACUGGAUAUGCGGGCAAGAGCUCAAAUAAAGCAAAGGGAUGCUAUAGAUACAAAGUAUUAACAGCCCCUAACCCCACACACCAGGUGAAGGAGGCCCUCAGAAACCUCAUGGAAACAGGCAAAGCCUGGUUCCAACUAUCAGAGCUUGAUUUUUCUUAUUGUCACAUUGAUCUAUAUGCAUCUUCUGUCGGUUUUGAAACACAGCAGUUUGAAUGUAACUUUGACAGGGACAGUGUCUUACUCUUGAUGUAUUUUUUCUUUUUCACAGUGUCCCCAGCAAAGACAGAACACUAGGCCAAAAACACCAUAUCCUAACAGUUCUCUCUACCCCCACCUCCCUCUCCAUGUGUUUCUGGGUAUUUCUACAGCUCAAAAGCUUAAAUUCAGAUAUCCAACCUUCCUACCCAAAAGUUACCCCUGACUGUUCAGGCAGUUUCUCAGCCCAGACCAAAAAUACCACCAAUUCCAUCCACAACAGGAAGGGGGGACCUAAGGUGCAUGUGUGAUGACAUAGGACUUGCCUCACACGGGAAAAACCUGCUGCCACUUGGAAGUUUUGCAGAGGCUAAAACACAGUUGAAGGACUUUACCUGAACGUCAGGGAAAUAAGCCUUCAGGAGGUUGGAACUGGGAUAACGUGUGAAGAAAAACAUUAGCUUGGCCUUCUUCAAGUGACCAGGAUUGAGGCCCUCCUGGAUUUAUCCCAGGGUCAAGGAAAACUAAUAGCAGUUCAUCAAAUAAUUUUGUCAAAUUAUCCAAAUAGUAAAUUGCCCUAGUCCUUAUGGUUCCUAUCUUAUUUUAUUUUUUUCUUGUUGGACGAUGUUUUUGCUCCAUUUUUCUGCCUCUAGCAAAUACGGUCAGAUAAGCUUUUUCUUUCCAGAUGCUGAAUGCCACAUAUGUACCAUAAAGUUUCAGAAUUUAAAAGACAUUUUGAUGUGUACAAGUUCUGUGGCAUAUGUGAUAGCAAACAUAAUUUGUUGUACUGUGUGCGUGUGUGUGCAUGUGUGUGCGCUUUCACAAUAGGAUAGGAAGAGACGCCUCUCUCAGACAAACCACUUCAAAACCCCAGGUAGAGAUUUACUUCUCUCUGCCUCAGUUUCCUCAUCGGUAAAACGAGAGGCGUCGACUAGAUGGCCCGUCCGCAUUCUGGCUCUCAUCAUUGCCUUUGCAGUGCUGACGCCAACAAGCAUCUAACCAGACUGAGCACCAGAUCACAGUUUGCUUUGGCCCAAGAAGCUUGAACUGCUGGGCUGCACCUGCUCCCCAUUUGCCUGGCAGAACUUUCCCUCAUCCUUCCCGUCUCAACUCAGAUGCUCCCUCUGCUGUGAAACAUUUUCUUGCCGAAUUAGGCCUUCCUUUCCCUGGGCUGCCAACACUCUUUGUAUAAACCUUUUUCUGUAACAAUGACAUUAUUGGAAUUUUUAUUGCAUGUUUGUCUCCCCAUUUAGACUGUGAGCUCCUUGAGAGCAAGGACCUUAUCCUUUCAUCUUUGUAUUCCAUGUGCCUAGCCUGGUGCUAGGAACAU